CAUGACAACUCUGGCAUUGUGGAAGGACUUAUGACCAUGGUCCGUGCCAUCACUGCCACCCAGAAGACUGUGGAUGGCCCCUCUGGGAAACUGUGGUGUGAUGACCAUGGGGCUGCCCAGAACAUCAUCCCUGCAUCUACUGGUGCUGCCAAGGCUGUGAGCAAGGUCAUCCCUGAGCUGAAUGGAAAGCUCACUGGCAUGGCCUUCCGUGUCCCCACCCUCAAUGUGUCCAUUGUGGACCUGACCUGCCAUUUGGAGAAAGCCGCCAAAUAUGAUGACAUCAAGAAGGUGGUGAAACAGGCAUCCUGGGCUACACUGAAGACCAGGUUGUCUCCUGUGACUUUAACAGUGACACCCACUCUUCCACCUUUGAUGCUGGGGCUGGCAUUGCCCUGAACGACCACUUUGUUAAGCUCAUUUCCUGGUAUGAAAAUGAAUUUGGCUACAGCAACAGGGUGGUGGACCUUAUGGUCCACAUGGCCUCCAAGGAAUAA